rnacentral:rRNA from 1 species
GACGAACGCUGGCGGCGUGCUUAACACAUGCAAGUCGAACGGAAAGGCCCUGCUUUUGUGGGGGGCUCGAGUGGCGAACGGGUGAGUAACACGUGAGUAACCUGCCCUUGACUUUGGGAUAACUUGAGGAAACUGGGGCUAAUACCGGAUAGGAGCUCCUGCUGCAUGGUGGGGGGUGGAAAGUUUCGGCGGUUGGGGAUGGACUCGCGGCUUAUCAGCUUGUUGGUGGGGUAGUGGCUUACCAAGGCUUUGACGGGUAGCCGGCCGGAGAGGGUGACCGGCCACAUUGGGACUGCGAUACGGCCCAGACUCCUACGGGAGGCAGCAGUGGGGAAUAUUGCACAAUGGGCGGAAGCCUGAUGCAGCAACGCCGCGUGCGGGAUGACGGCCUUCGGGUUGUAAACCGCUUUCGCCUGUGACGAAGCGUGAGUGACGGUAAUGGGUAAAGAAGCACCGGCUAACUACGUG